rnacentral:rRNA from 1 species
GGUACGGGCGGACUAGAGUGCAGUAGGGGAGUCUGGAAUUCCUGGUGUAGCGGUGAAAUGCGCAGAUAUCAGGAGGAACACCGGUGGCGAAGGCGGGACUCUGGGCUGUUACUGACGCUGAGGAGCGAAAGCAUGGGGAGCGAACAGGAUUAGAUACCCUGGUAGUCCAUGCCGUAAACGUUGGGCACUAGGUGUGGGGUCCAUUCCACGGGUUCCGCGCCGUAGCUAACGCAUUAAGUGCCCCGCCUGGGGAGUACGGCCGCAAGGCUAAAACUCAAAGGAAUUGACGGGGGCCCGCACAAGCGGCGGAGCAUGCGGAUUAAUUCGAUGCAACGCGAAGAACCUUACCAAGGCUUGACAUGCACCGGAAUGGGCCAGAGAUGGUUCAGCCCUUUGGGCUGGUGCACAGGUGGUGCAUGGUUGUCGUCAGCUCGUGUCGUGAGAUGUUGGGUUAAGUCCCGCAACGAGCGCAACCCUCGUUCUAUGUUGCCAGCACGUGAUGGUGGGAACUCAUAGGAGACUGCCGGGGUCAACUCGGAGGAAGGUGGGGAUGACGUCAAAUCAUCAUGCCCUUUAUGUCUUGGGCUUCACGCAUGCUACAAUGGUCGGUACAAAGGGUGGCGAGACCGUGAGGUGGAGCGAAUCCCAGAAAGCCGAUCUCAGUUCGGAUCGUAGUCUGCAACUCGACUACGUGAAGUCGGAGUCGCUAGUAAUCGCAGAUCAGCAACGCUGCGGUGAAUACGUUCCCGGGCCUUGUACACACCGCCCGUCAAGUCACGAAAGUCGGUAACACCCGAAGCCGGUGGCCUAACCCUUUGUGGGGGGAGCCGUCGAAAGUGGGACUGGUGAUUGGGACGAAGUCGUAACAGGGUAGCCCGAUAUA